rnacentral:rRNA from 2 species
AAACGUUUGACACCAGUCAUGUGGGUGGAAAAUCAGUCUUUUGCAUUGGGGAGUUGUAAGGGUUCGGACCGCAAGGCCGGCUUUUGCUUCAUCUUUGGUGUAAGUGAUGCACUUUUUCAUUUACAGGUCAACAUCAGUUUCUUUUGCUGGACAAAACUCCGAGAGAAGGUAGCAGCUUAGGCUGUGUUAUAGCUCUGGAGCGAUACAGUGAAGGGGACUGAGGUUUUCGCAGCGUGUGCUCUCGGGCAAGGCUGGAUGGGUGCUAUGGGAUCGUUCGGGGUACAAUGCCUGGCAUUUUGCUUCGUGUCUUUUCUAUACUCGCUCAACUCAGCUCUUCCACGCUUAGGAUGUUGACUUAAUGGUUUUAAACGA